CUUUCUCAAGACUAAGCCAUGCACGUCUAGUACAAACUAAAUGAUGGUGAAACUGCAAAUGGGCUCAUUACAACGGUUAUGAUGUACCCGGGAGUUCCGAUGGAUAUUUCCAGUAACACUAGAACUAAUACAUGUCCCUGCGUUUAUUAGUUUCGCACAGUCCGUCGCUGAGUCAUGGUAAACAGUUGAUCGACUCGACGUCCCGGAACAGUUUCCGCCCCAUCAGCUUCGAUGGUUGGGUAUUGGCCUACCAUUGCAACAACGGGUAACGAGGAAUUAGGGUUUGAUUUCGGAGAGGGAGCCUGAGAAACGGCUACCACAUCUACGGAUGGCAGCAGGCGCGCAAAUUACCCAAUGCAGACACUGUGAGGUAGUGACGAGAAAUAAUAAAGCGGGACUUCUGUUUCGCUAUUAUAAUGAGGAAUAACCAAAGGUCAUUCCGAUUAGCAACUGAUGGGAAAGUCUGGUGCCAGCAGCCGCGGUAAUACCAGCGUCAGUAG
rnacentral:rRNA from 1 species